CCUACGGGGUGCAGCAGUCGAGAAUCAUUCACAAUGGGGGAAACCCUGAUGGUGCGACGCCGCGUGGGGGAAUGAAGGUCUUCGGAUUGUAAACCCCUGUCAUGUGGGAGCAAAUUAAAAAGAUAGUACCACAAGAGGAAGAGACGGCUAACUCUGUGCCAGCAGCCGCGGUAAUACAGAGGUCUCAAGCGUUGUUCGGAAUCACUGGGCGUAAAGCGUGCGUAGGCUGUUUCGUAAGUCGUGUGUGAAAGGCGCGGGCUCAACCCGCGGACGGCACAUGAUACUGCGAGACUAGAGUAGUGGAGGGGGAACCGGAAUUCUCGGUGUAGCAGUGAAAUGCGUAGAUAUCGAGAGGAACACUCGUGGCGAAGGCGGGUUCCUGGACAUUAACUGACGCUGAGGCACGAAGGCCAGGGGAGCGAAAGGGAUUAGAUACCCGAGUAGUC
rnacentral:rRNA from 1 species